CCUCCUCCUCCUGCUCCUCCUCCCCCUCGCCUCCCCCGCUCCUCCCUCCUCCCCUCCGCGCCCCACACUUCGCACCGCGCGGCUCGCCGGCGCCUCUAUCUAUUUUGUGUCCAGCCCCAGCCGCGCGCCGUGAUUCAUGGCCCCAAUUAGGGGCCCUCCCGCUCCAGCGCCUGCGGCUCCAGGGUCUCCUGGGGACCUGGGACACCCGGCAGCGUCCCAGGCUGGUUUUUCAGCAGAGGUCAAGCGGGACGUGGGAGGAGCCAGGUAAGGAAGGGCGACCCUCCCCGCUCUGAAUGGGCACCACGCAAGCCAGGGGCGGGAACACCCUUCAGAGCCCUGUGCUCCAGUUCUGCAGACAGCAAGAGUUGGCCCUGGUCUCUUCCCACCCGUUAGUGAGUGCAUCACCCUGGGGACAGAGUCCUCAGGCCACCGCCUCUCCCCACCGCAGGCAGAGGUAGAAAGGGCACUGAGUGUCCAGGGCAGGUUCCCCACAGUCUGAGACAGGAGCUGCCCAGAGAGCUGCUGUUUCACAAACCUCACUGCAUUCAACACAGCAGCACCCACAGAGUACUGGGCAGCUCGGGCAUCGGCUCGGCCUGCUCUCGAUGAGCCCAUUGCACUGAUAGGAAGGAGGCAGCGCUGACUGCUGAGGUGCCUCUCAGACCCUGGGCCUCCAGAGGCUGACAUCUGGUCCACAUCAGCCUCUGAGGAUGGAGCCAGGACCCCCCCCCCCCAGCCUCCCUCUCGGGCUGGGCCUAGGAGCCCUCUCUGGACCUCAGUGGCCCCUCGGUGACUUGAUACUCGUCCAGCUUCAGGGUUCCAGUGCGAUUUCCCAGCCCUCCACAGCUGUCCUGAGCCGGCAGCUGGAGCCUAGAGUCCCGGCACGAAGGGCUGGAAGGGCCCCUCUGCUCUCAGGGGUGCAGACGUGGAAAUGAAGCGGGGCUUCCCCUUGGCACAGAGGCCCUUGUGUUGUAAAUACAUGGAGGAAGGGAAAGGGCCCUCGGGAGUCCCUGGUGGACACUCCAGGACUCAGCCCCAGGUUUAACAGGAAGAUCGGGGAGGCAGGGACGUGGGCCUGGGGCCUCUUCGGGGCCCAGGAAAGUGCUGGCUCAGCACACUGUCCGGAAGAACGUGGUGGUGGGGGCUGCUCCUGGCCCUUUUAAUGCCUGGUGAGAAGCACUGGUUAGGAAGGUCCUACGGGCAAGGUCUGGUCCAUUGUGUGCCUGCCAGUCACGGGGCCUGCUGGGUCCCCAGACGGAAAGCUGUCUGGGCAAACGACGGCCCCAUGGGAGCCGGGUCUCUGGGUGGACGGGGUCCCCUAGGCUUGCCAAGGCUGCCCCCCCCCACCCCGCAGCGCUCUCUGUGGAGCCCUGCAGCUGUCUUGGUGGCCCUGGGCACAGUGACAUCAGUGGCUUCCAGUCUUCCCCUGAGACAGGUCCUGGGAGUUUGCCAUUGGGUUUCUCCUCUUUCGUCUGCUCUUCCCUCUCUGCCCCUCCAUGCCCCCCAGGGGUCCUAGUGCCCCCUCCAGAGAGCAGAACCUGCCUCUGUCUUGGUCACUGCAUAUCCAGGGCCUGCUCUGUGCUCAGGCCCCACGAGCCCCAGUCCCGGUCCUGUCCCCUCCUCCCCUCCCUGGCCAGCUAUGGGAAGCUGGGCAGCCCACUUAAUGGGCCCAACUCGUGGGGCCCAAGGGCAGAGGCCAGAGGCAGCAGAGAGUGUGCUCAGGUGCAGAGGUGGUAUGUGGGGUGCCCCUGCUGGCCCUGCGCAGUGUGUGGCGCCACUGAGACCCACCAAUGGGACAAGAGGGGGCGAUGGGAAUCCGGGGCUUUCUCUGCUAAGCAGGCCCCUCCAGAAGAGCUUCCUGUGUGUGUGCGUGUUCGUGUGCUAAUGUAUGUAUGUGCUGUGCAUGCAUCUGCGUGCAUGGCUGUGUGCACGUGUGUGCACAGUGCAGAUGUGCGCGCAUGCGUGCGUGUGUCCAUGUGUGGAGCGGAUCAGCAGGGGAAGUGGGUGGUGUCCGCCUGCGUGUUUCUUUCUCUCCGUGCCCUAGUGACUCAGGGAAGUGUCCUGGCACAGGCAGAGAAGGAAGAAGGUGAGUGACAGACGUCAGUCAUCUGUAGGUGGGUGGUGAGGAGCACAGCUGGGCACAACAGCCUGAGGCCACAGCCCCUCUGGGUACUCGCUGUGUGGCCUUGGCCUGCCACUAACCUCUCCGAGCCUCAGUUUCCCUAUCUGGGAAAGAACAAUAACAAAGCAGCAUACUCACUAGCGAUGGCGGAGGAGGAAUGGAGACAAAAGGGGGAAGCACCCUCUCUGGCCAGGGGAGCAGCUACAGGUGUCGUGGGCAGCCACACCCUCGAUGUGCCUCCCAGGCGCCGACUCCCAUGGUGGGUUCUGCUGCAUCCAGCUCACAGGAUGCUAGCGGGUUCCUGCCUGGACACAAACUGGCCUGCGUUCACACUGGGAGAGAGGAUGACAGUGAUGCAAAGCAGCCGUUUCAAGCACUGUCCGCUCCAUUCCCCACGGACCAGAGGCCGUCAGUUGGGCAGCUGUGUGCAUCCCGGACUCGCAGCCACCUGCAGAGCUCUCCCAGGACACAGUACCCCCUUGGGCGGCUCCACCCUGCCUGUGCCUGUGCAGCCUGCAUGUGUCUGGCCUCUGGCUCGCUGGGGACCAGAAACACAACGCAUCAUCUGACUGCCCUAUUUUGUCUUUUCUCUUUCUUUUUCUCUUUUCUUUUUGCCUAAGAACGAGGCAAGCACCUCUCUGUUCUCCUCAGAAGGAGCUCCAAACGUGGCAGGCGUCUGGCAAAAAUAUGUCCUCCUUCUCAGGAAGAAUGUAAUGCUAACAAUAAAAAUAAGACCCUGGGGUUUAUGCAGGCCUCGUGCCUGGGGACUGUCUCACAUCUGGUGGCUCAAGAGGCCUGGCAGGAAGCAUUCUCUCUGCUUUAGGAGUGGGGAAACUGAGGCUCCAAGAGGUAGGGAGUUAGUUGCUCUCGGGUACAAUCCUGGAGCUAGGGCCAGCCAGCAGGGCUGGUGAUGUUUCAUCGUGUGUCACGCAGGUGAACUGCGGAUUUGUUCACUGUGAACUUGAAAUGUGCACAGUGUGUUGGGGACUCUGUCUUAGAAUUUGUUCCUUUUUAUAAAUUCUGGGGUCUCUGAGAGUGGGGGUGAGGGGAACUUUUUUUUUUUUAUCUCCGGAGCCUCAGAUAAAGUAGGCAGAAAUAUGUCAUAUGCUACAGAGUUCCUUGGUUAAAAAAUUCACACCUUGUAUUUGUGCAAUUAAAGAUCAGUGCGUGGGGUAUGAUUCUGAGCAGAAUCGCGUCCCCUAAAACCUCGCCUUCUCCCCUAACCUGACACAGAAUCUGUCUGGCUCUGGGAGACACCAUCCCCCACCCGGCCCGCCCUCUCGCCUAAUCCAAGGAUUUUGCCGUGAACUUCAGGGCCUCGUAAAACGCCUUUGAUAAACGAUCACCGCCGGCAGUGCUGACCUGUGAGGGGAGGACAGCAGACGCUCCGCAUAAAUCCCCCGAGCUCCGAGCUCCGAGCUCCGAGACACACUUGCCGCUGCCGCCUGCUCCUCUACGGAUGGCUGAUCGGGCAGCAGCAACACAGCGGUCAGCGCCGGGGUGGUUCCCACAUGUCCAAGCCUCAUGGGGCCUGGGGACGGUGGGCGUGGGUGAGCGAGGAGGGGAGGGACAGACGUGGACGGUAGCAGGGGGUCCUGGUGUGCCGCAGUGUGAACAAGAAGCCAGUUUGUGUCUCAGGACUCGUUUACGGGGAGUCGCUGGAUGCAGAAUGAGCUGCUUCCCUCAGGUCUCGCAACAAAACAUCUGAAAAGAGGGCUGUGCUGUUGAGCACCUUGACGCAUGGGAGGGACGCUGAUGCCUGCAACAGUGACCGUGUCCCCGCGGUCCCUGAGCUGGGUGGUGUCGGCCAGCCUGGCCUGGGCGCCUCACUCACCACCCGGCUGCAGGCCCACCUUGCCUGACCCAUCCCCAUAAAGGCAUCCUUGUCCCUUGCUGGGUCCUGCCAAUGAAGCUGAUGGUCGGAGCUCACUGGCUGCCUUCUGGACCUGCCCAUGGCUCCACCGGCGGCCGUCACCCUAAGCCUGGGGUCCCCAAGCCCGGGUACUGGAGCUCUACAGUGGGCUGGCACAGGAGGGCCAGGAAGUGAGCGGCCCCAGAUUCUUUCCAGCUGUUCUCUGAGUCACUGCAGUGUGUUCCAAGCCCAGCUGCCAGCUGCCUCCCUGGCCUGUUAUUUAUGCAGUUGCUGAGCUGUUGCUGGACUCAUCGACGGGAAUGUACGGUGGCCCUGAAGCUUGUAUCUAGUGUUCAACUGGGGUGUUGUGUUUCUUAAAAACUCUAACUGAAGUUUCGCCCCUCGACAGAAACAGGGCAUCUCGCCGAGUUCUCCCAAGCUGGACACCCCAGUGGGGUCACCUAGAAGUGCCACGAGUCCAGCUCCCAGCAGCGUGCCUGCUGUCAGGCUCCUGUGUCCCCCUGCCGAGAGUGAGGACUCACAGGCAGGACUGCAGGCGCCCCAAGUUCUGACUCCGGACUUCUUAGCCGCUCUAUCGAGGUACAGCCCACAGCCCCACAGCUCCCAGUCCGUGUGAGUGAAUUCACCGCAUUGUGCAGCCCCAGCGCAGCCGGUUCCAGACCGCUUUCCUCACCCGGAAGAGAAACCUCGUCCUGGUCGUCAUCCCGUCCGUCUGUCGCGCCCUCCCAGCACCUGGCACCUGGAUUCACCUUCUGUCCCUGUGGACUGGCCUGCUCUGGACGCUUUGCACCAAGGAGAUCGUGCAGCCCCGGCUCUUUGCAUCUGGCUCUUCUGCUUUUCAUAGCGUUUCCAAGGGUGGCUGGGUCGUGGCUUGAGGUGGUGCGGGCCAUGUUUGUACCGUUGAGGUAGAAGUUCACCACACGUGA